AAAUUGAAGAGUUUGAUCAUGGCUCAGAUUGAACGCUGGCGGCAGGCCUAACACAUGCAAGUCGAACGGUAACAGGAAGCAGCUUGCUGCUUCGCUGACGAGUGGCGGACGGGUGAGUAAUGUCUGGGAAACUGCCUGAUGGAGGGGGAUAACUACUGGAAACGGUGGCUAAUACCGCAUAACGUCGCAAGACCAAAGAGGGGGACCUUCGGGCCUCUUGCCAUCAGAUGUGCCCAGAUGGGAUUAGCUAGUUGGUGAGGUAACGGCUCACCAAGGCGACGAUCCCUAGCUGGUCUGAGAGGAUGACCAGCCACACUGGAACUGAGACACGGUCCAGACUCCUACGGGAGGCAGCAGUGGGGAAUAUUGCACAAUGGGCGCAAGCCUGAUGCAGCCAUGCCGCGUGUAUGAAGAAGGCCUUCGGGUUGUAAAGUACUUUCAGCGGGGAGGAAGGUGUUGUGGUUAAUAACCGCAGCAAUU
rnacentral:rRNA from 1 species